UACUCCAGGCCAGCAGGUGGCGGUAAUGCACCAAAUAUAUUGAUGCAAACCGCUGUUUAGAGCAGAAGAAGUAUCACACUGCAGCUUUGCCGGCCUGGUCUGCAGUCUGCUCCGUCUGAGACGGUUACUCAAUGCUGUUCUACACGAGGAGCUCCAUGCUAAUGCGAUCCUCCAUUCAAAUAUAUAAUGGUUUCUCCUGUUCGCCAGUCGGCAUGAACACAUAAAUACUGUGGAUAUUACGUUACAUAACCGCAGUGAAAGAACGACACUAUGGAGAUGUUUGGACUGCAGUAUAAUGAGCAUGGUUGCCCCCAGUUCCUGUGGACUGGGACCAGCACAGGACCAAGACUGCCCGACCUCCUCCAGAGCAGUGCAUCCACUGCACAGUCAUCGUAAUGGACGUGGCACUAAGGAGGAUUGUCCAGCCGCAGAUGACGCUGAAGAACCGUUACAAGCCGCUAACACCAGUCUGCUUCAGCAGCUUGGUUGAAAUGGAGAUUGGAUGAUGCACUGUGCCCAACUAAUCAUACACGUGAUGCCUUGAGAGGUCGGGGUCAGAUUGUGAGUACUCCUCCGUUUUCCUGAUCCGAUGUGAGGUCAAAGGUCAGGGAUGUCUAUGUGUCCAGAUUGUAAUGCACUCCGAGACAAAUUUGUAAAUUGUGAAAAUGGGCUAUACAAAUAAACUGAAUUGAAUUGA